UCAAGUUGAACUCCUGUGAUCAAGGCCUUAAAAGCUGUACUGAAUUCCACAUUCAGGACUGGCUGAGGCUGCAGUAAGCCAUAAUAACACCGCUGCACUCCAUCCUGGACAACAGAAUGAGACCCUGUCAAAAAAAAGGAAGGAAGGAAGAGAGAGAGGGAGGGAGGGAGGGAGGGAGGGAAGGAUGGAGAGAGGGAAGGUAAGUAAAAGAGAAAGAAUGUCACUGACCCACGUAAAUGUGUUAACAGUGCCUUAAUUCAAUUGAAGUGGGAAUUCUAGAAUGUUCGUGAGCUUG
rnacentral:lncRNA from 10 species